rnacentral:pre_miRNA from 1 species
GAGACACCCUUAUGGGGCAGGACUUGCUUCAGUGGGGCUUUGGUGCUCACUGAAGUCUGCCCCUUGACUGUGUUGCU